GACGAACGCUGGCGGCGUGCUUAACACAUGCAAGUCGAGCGGUAAGGCCCUUUCGGGGGUACGACGAGCGGCGAACGGGUGAGUAACACGUGGGUGACCUGCCCUCAGCUCUGGGAUAAGCCUGGGAAACUGGGUCUAAUACUGGAUAUGACUCCACGGUGCAUGUCGUGGGGUGGAAAGCCUUGUGCGGCUGAGGAUGGGCCCGCGGCCUAUCAGCUUGUUGGUGGGGUGANGGCCCUACCAAGGCGACGACGGGUAGCCGGCCUGAGAGGGCGACCGGCCACACUGGGACUGAGACACGGCCCAGACUCCUACGGGAGGCAGCAGUGGGGAAUCUUGCGCAAUGGGCGAAAGCCUGACGCAGCGACGCCGCGUGAGGGAUGACGGCCUCGG
rnacentral:rRNA from 1 species